rnacentral:rRNA from 1 species
GCUCUGGAAAGUGCGGCGAUACAGGGUGAUAGCCCCGUACACGAAAAGGCUUUAUCAAUGAAAACGAGUAGGACGGGACACGUGGUAUCCUGUUUGAACAUGGGGGGACCAUCCUCCAAGGCUAAAUACUCCUGACUGACCGAUAGUGAACCAGUACCGUGAGGGAAAGGCGAAAAGAACCCCUGUUAGGGGAGUGAAAUAGAACCUGAAACCGUGUACGUACAAGCAGUGGGAGCCCACUUGUUGGGUGACUGCGUACCUUUUGUAUAAUGGGUCAGCGACUUACAUUCUGUAGCGAGGUUAACCGAAUAGGGGAGCCGUAGGGAAACCGAGUCUUAACUGGGCGAAUAGUUGCAGGGUGUAGACCCGAAACCGGGCGAUCUAUCCAUGAGCAGGUUGAAGGUUGGGUAACACUAACUGGAGGACCGAACCCACAAAUGUUGAAAAAUUUGGGGAUGACUUGUGGAUCGGAGUGAAAGGCUAAUCAAGCUCGGAGAUAUCUGGUUCUCCUCGAAA